rnacentral:rRNA from 1 species
CACGUAGGGUGCGAGCGUUGUCCGGAAUUAUUGGGCGUAAAGAGCUCGUAGGCGGUGUGUCGCGUCGGCCGUGAAAACCUGCAGCUUAACUGUGGGCGUGCGGUCGAUACGGGCAUCACUGGAGUUCGGCAGGGGAGACUGGAAUUCCUGGUGUAGCGGUGAAAUGCGCAGAUAUCAGGAGGAACACCAAUAGCGAAGGCAGCUCGCUGGGACGGUACUGACGCUGAGGUGCGAAAGCGUGGGGAGCAAACAGG